UACAGAGGUCUCAAGCGUUGUUCGGAUUCAUUGGGCGUAAAGGGUGCGUAGGCGGCGCGGUAAGUCGGGUGUGAAAUCUCGGAGCUUAACUCCGAAACUGCAUUCGAUACUGCCGUGCUUGAGGACUGGAGAGGAGACUGGAAUUCACGGUGUAGCAGUGAAAUGCGUAGAUAUCGUGAGGAACACCAGAGGCGAAGGCGACUUCCUGGACAAUUGCUGACACUCAGGCACGAAAGCGUGGGUAGCCAAAGGG
rnacentral:rRNA from 1 species